rnacentral:tRNA from 1 species
UCCUGGCUCAGACAGUAAAGAAUCUGCCUACAAUGCAGGAGACCCAGGUUUGACUCCUGGGUCAGGAA